GAAAAGUGAACUUUGCUUCUCCCUUAUUCUGUUCAGCAAGAGAGUCAGAUUCAGCAAGCAUUUAUUUAGCACUUGUGAGGCGCAAGGCCCUGGAUUUGGUCUAAAGAGGAUCGCAAAGAUGAAUCCGACAACACUGACAGAAAAAUACAAACAGUUCUUCACUCAUACAGUUUAUUUCUGCAUUCAGGUGAUGGUGAUUCAGACAUCUUCACUCUGGAAGUUUAUAAGCAUUUACAAAAGCACAGAAUAAGGAGAAGACACGGCUUUAAGUUCCAGCCUAUUACCUAUGAAACAUGGGCACUAGUCCAGUGAGAUGUUUCGUUCCUUUAUAGUCUCAGCG